UACGAAGGGGGCUAGCGUUGUUCGGAAUUACUGGGCGUAAAGCGCGCGCAGGCGGCUAUCCAAGUCAGUGGUGAAAGCCCGGAGCUCAACUCCGGAACUGCCAUUGAAACUGUUUAGCUGGAGUAUGAGAGAGGUGAGUGGAAUUCCCAGUGUAGAGGUGAAAUUCGUAGAUAUUCGGAAGAACACCAGUGGCGAAGGCGACUUACUGGACACAUAUUGACGCUGAGGUGCGAAAGCGUGGGGAGCAAACAGG
rnacentral:rRNA from 1 species